rnacentral:misc_RNA from 1 species
UCACAAUAAACAAAACCCAUUACAGUGAUAUGGGCAUAGCUUUUGGUUGGGUCAACCUUUGAAGAUAAUGACUUGAUAAACAAAGAUGAAAGAAACAAGAGAAUAACUGGAUUCAUGGCAGCAAAAAUUUGGGAGAUUGGAGGGGGGAAAAUUCAGAUAGGCACCUCAAUGAACUGUUGGAUUUUAGUGAAUAGCAAUCAAAGCAUUAUGAUAUAGUUGUAGAAGAUGAGUUCUGUUUUGUGGAUAAGCAGCAGAGAGAGAGUUGCUGCUUGGUGGAGAUCC